rnacentral:rRNA from 1 species
GAUGAACGCUGGCGGCGUGCCUAAUACAUGCAAGUCGAGCGAACGGACGAGAAUCUUGCUUCUCUGAUGUUAGCGGCGGACGGGUGAGUAACACGUGGAUAACCUACCUAUAAGACUGAGAUAACUUCGGGAAACCGGAGCUAAUACCGGAUGAUAUUUUGAACCGCAUGGUUCAUCAGUGAAAGACGGUCUUGCUGUCACUUAUAGAUGGAUCCGCGCUGCAUUAGCUAGUUGGUAAGGUAACGGCUUACCAAGGCAACGAUGCAUAGCCGACCUGAGAGGGGGAUAGGGCACACUGAAACUGAGACGCGGUCCAGACUCCUACGGGAGGCAGCAGUAGGGAAUCUUGCGAAAUGGGCGAAAGCUUGACGGAGCAACGCCGCGUGAGUGAUGAAGGUCUCCGGAUCGUAAAACUCUGUUAUUAGGGAAGAACAUAUGUGUAAGUAACUGUGCAGAUCUGGAGGGUACCUAAUCAGAAAGCCACGGCUAACUAGGU